UGCAACGCGAAGAACCUUACCUGGGUUUGACAUACACCGGAAAACCGUAGAGAUACGGUCCCCCUUGUGGUCGGUGUACAGGUGGUGCAUGGCUGUCGUCAGCUCGUGUCGUGAGAUGUUGGGUUAAGUCCCGCAACGAGCGCAACCCUUGUCUUAUGUUGCCAGCACGUAAUGGUGGGGACUCGUAAGAGACUGCCGGGGUCAACUCGGAGGAAGGUGGGGACGACGUCAAGUCAUCAUGCCCCUUAUGUCCAGGGCUUCACACAUGCUACAAUGGCCAGUACAGAGGGCUGCGAGACCGUGAGGUGGAGCGAAUCCCUUAAAGCUGGUCUCAGUUCGGAUCGGGGUCUGCAACUCGACCCCGUGAAGUCGGAGUCGCUAGUAAUCGCAGAUCAGCAACGCUGCGGUGAAUACGUUCCCGGGCCUU
rnacentral:rRNA from 1 species